GCCUGGACAAUGCGUGGUAAAAAUCCCAGUCUCCGCCGCGUAACCGACUCCCUUGUCCACUAGUGUCUCGGCGAGGAUGAGCUUAGCUUCCUGUACACAUUUAAAGUUAUAUCAUUCUCUGAUUUGCAAGCAGAUACUUUUGAUCUUUUAAGAUUAAUUGCAUCAUUAACUUACAUUUAUCGAUCCUUGGGUGGCAGAGAAAGCGACAACUCCGGCACAAUCGGCGGCAGUACCUAAUUUUUUGGAGCCGAUCGUGGUGAUACCAGAAGUUUGUGGUGGAUCUGGUACCGCUGCAUUGGUCAACGCGACCGCUGCCAAUAUCAGCACCGCCCACACCACCCUGUUAAUACAAUUGAGCAAAUAUGCAUUAACCAGCGAUUUGAUUCUACACAAAUGCUUGAGUAAUAAAAAAUAAAUUCUCUUGCAAA